rfam:Candidatus Edwardsbacteria bacterium GWF2_54_11 gwf2_scaffold_1668, whole genome shotgun sequence.
GGGGGCGACAGGUUUCGACGGAUCAAGAUAGAUCAAAGUGGCAUGUCGAGAAGGUCAGAGGGCUCGUUAAAAUACUGGCAAGCCAUCUAAAUGGCAACUAUAAUUACGCUUUAGCAGCUUAAUUUUAAGCGCUAUGUCGCUGUAGGUCUCCGCCCAUCGGGCCUGCAAACGACAUCGUAAAGAAGGGCUGGUUCCGGGUGAUGUCCCGACAUUCGGAACGAGAUCUCAGGGGCUGCUCCGACCAGGACCGUGUUUAUGCGGGCCUUUAGGAAAAGACAAAACAUAAACUAAACAUGUAGAGGCUUCGGUUGUUCUUUUUUCGGACGUGGGUUCGAUUCCCACCGCCUCCACCA